rnacentral:sRNA from 1 species
AGUGCUCAGCUCCCUGCUGUCCGGGGCCCUGGCUGGUGCCCUUGCCAAAACAGCGGUAGCUCCCCUGGACCGUACCAAAAUCAUCUUCCAAGUGUCUUCAAAAAGAUUUUCUGCCAAGGUGAGCCACUAUGUCACCGCCCUGGCCUGGGGACAGUCACCACUACCCUGAUGGGCUGGCAGGAGUUAGGCAGGUGGUCUGAGGAGUCUCAGGUGUGGGGACAGGACUACCUGUCUUCCCAUCCCCAGCUCUGCCUGGACACAGCCCAGCCUGGGAACUGACGGGACAUCCCGACUGUCCUUCCGGCAGUGGGGUGGGGAGACUCAACAGCUCUAAAACAACCUUUUCAUGUUUGAUUUAUUGUUAAACAGAGAGCAGGUGCUACCUUCUUAAUAAAGGAAAAGAUAAACUGUA